ensembl:lncRNA
AUUCUGAUAAACUGUGUUAGUGAAUGUAGCUAAAUAAAAGUCAAACACACACACACACACACACACACACACACACACACUGCUCUCCGUUCAGAAAAUAAAAUCGUGUGUGGGCUUCAACAUGGCCGUCGCACUAGCUAUGUGCUGAUAGUGAAACCAUGGCAACGGGCAGGAACACCCGUUAAAAGACUGCGUUUCUUUUUCUUUGUGCCGCACAUUGUUUUUGAAGCACACACACACACACACACACACACACACACACACACACACACACACAUAUUUUCUCCUACUCUUUUAUUUGCAUGCACCUUGGAAAGCAAUUAAACUAACACAUGAAAGAAAAGUUCACUCUUUCUCUCCCUCUCUGUCUAUCCCUGUCUCAUUAUUUCUCUUCAUUUCUCUAUCUCUCUCUCUCCCUCUCCCCCUCCCUCUUUUCCUCCCUCUGUCUGUCUCUCUUUUGUCUGUUUGUCUCCCCCACUCUCUUUCGCUCUAUUUCUUUCUCUUAUUUUAGCGCGUGUUUUCUGACAGUGCUUGAUCAAGACGCCUGAAAUGCUACAAAGAACUUGGACACAUAAAUGCGCCUGCGUUCCCACACACACACAUGCACACACACACACACACACACACACACACACACACACUCACACUCACUCACACUCACUCACACUCAUGCAGGCACGCACGCACACACACACACACACGCACACACAUUCAUGCAGACACACACGCACGUACACACAUACGCAUGCACGCACACACACACACACUCUCUCAGAUCCAGAUGGAGGGUCGGUUAGAUCAAUAUCCAGUCAGCAAGACUAAGUCUCAUCACAGCUCAAUGAAUAUGUCAGUCUCUCUCUCUCUCUCUCUCUCUCUCUCUCUCUCUCUCUCUCUCUCACACACACACACACGGACAACACAUCUGUAAAUAUGGGACUGAGUGCAUCUUCACGCUCAUUUAAUUAAGCAUUCUCAGUUGCAUCUGUGGAAAAUGAGCUCAGGGUUUCAAAAAACAAACACUGAACUCUUAAACACUGAGCUGUCAUCAGUUCCGUUACUCCGUUCCUGCGAUGCUGAGGUUUAUACACAACGACGAAGUGUGAAUAUUAUACUAGAGAUCAGUUUUACACUUUAAAGAGUCAAAGCUUCACAGAUUAAAAGCACAAUGCCAUAGAUCUACAGAUUGCUUAUAUGAUGCUGAACAGUUACAGAUUAAAGGUGCAGUGCUGAAGAUUUACAGAUUAAAGGUGCAGUGCUGAACAGUUACAGAUUAAAGGUGCAGUGCUGAAGAUUUACAGAUUAAAGGUGCAGUGCUGAAGAGUUACAGAUUAAAGGUGCAGUGCUGAACAGUUACAGAUUAAAGGUGCAGUGCUGAAGAGUUACAGAUUAAAGGUGCAGUGCUGAACAGUUACAGAUUAAAGGUGCAGUGCUGAAGAUUUAUAGAUUAAAGGUGCAGUGCUGAACAGUUACAGAUUAAAGGUGCAGUGCUGAAGAUUUAUAGAUUAAAGGUGCAGUGCUGAACAGUUACAGAUUAAAGGUGCAGUGCUGAAGAUUUAUAGAUUAAAGGUGCAGUGCUGAACAGUUACAGAUUAAAGGUGCAGUGCUGAAGAUUUAUAGAUUAAAGGUGCAGUGCUGAACAGUUACAGAUUAAAGGUGCAGUGCUGAAGAUUUAUAGAUUAAAGGUGCAGUGCUGAACAGUUACAGAUUAAAGGUGCAGUGCUGAAGAUUUAUAGAUUAAAGGUGCAGUGCUGAACAGUUACAGAUUAAAGGUGCAGUGCUGAAGAUUUAUAGAUUAAAGGUGCAGUGCUGAACAGUUACAGAUUAAAGGUGCAGUGCUGAAGAUUUAUAGAUUAAAGGUGCAGUGCUGAACAGUUACAGAUUAAAGGUGCAGUGCUGAACAGUUACAGAUUAAAGAUUCAAGGCUCUGAAUCAGCCAGAUGUUUGUUGUUACUCGCACUGUGCUGUUAGUGUCUCUCGGGAAUGUUGCUAUUGUUUUGGAGAAAUCCUUUAAUAGAAUCUGAUGAGGUAUUAUACCCUGGUUGAGGAACAGAAAAUGUUAAUAAAUAAUGAAAUAAGUACAUGCAAAUCUACUACCAAAUCUUUCUGUGAAAAUGACUGAGUUAAAGAGCACAGUCGGUGUGUUUGGGUUGUAUUUAAACCUCGUUAACCUCGCGUGAUAAACGCGCUGAACACUGAAGUGUUAUUAACCUUACACAGGGUAUCUGUGUGUGUGUUUAUUUCGGUCAUUUUUCCUAAAGCAGUAUUUAAUUUCUGCCUGCCAGCAGAGGAAACCCAUUUUAAUUGCUUCCAUCAGAUUUAUAAUGACUUCUGUUUGCGCCUGUUCCCAAAUGAGGGUUUACAUCGGCUGACUUGGCAACCCAUUUUGCAGUCAAAUGAACACAAAGGGGGCGGGGCUUAACAAUUGAUUACCGCUGUGAUUUCCAUUGAUCGCUUGCAGUUUAUUGACCGCUGUGUAUAUGACGUGACUCAUGUCUUAUGC